GACGUAGGGCGCGAGCGUUGUCCGGAUUUAUUGGGCGUAAAGAGCUCGUAGGCGGCUUGUCGCGUCGACUGUGAAAACCCGCGGCUCAACUGCGGGCCUGCAGCCGAUACGGGCAGGCUAGAGUUCGGUAGGGGAGACUGGAAUUCAUGGUGUAGCAGUGAAAUGCGUAGAGAUCAUGAGGAAGACCAGUGGCGAAGGCGGCUCACUGGUCCGGUACUGACGCUGAGGUGCGAAAGCGUGGGGAGCAAACAGG
rnacentral:rRNA from 1 species